GAUAGAUUGAUGUUUAUGUUCUGUUGCCAAAUUCACUCGUAUUGCAUCUCAGAGAUACAGUCACUUUUUUCUUUUCUUUUUUCUCUUUCACAUACUCUUUGUGUCUUAAUGAAUAUGCUCACACCAUACCACUUGCCUUUAAUCAUGUUUUAUUUUAUAAAAUUUUUGGCACUGGAUCUCAAUAUCAGGGAGCCAUCAUUUUGUU